rnacentral:rRNA from 1 species
GAUGAACGCUAGCUACAGGCUUAACACAUGCAAGUCGAGGGGAAACGGCAUUGAGUGCUUGCACUCUUUGGACGUCGACCGGCGCACGGGUGAGUAACGCGUAUCCAACCUUCCCAUUACUGUGGGAUAACCUGCCGAAAGGCAGACUAAUACCGCAUAGUCUUCGAUGACGGCAUCAGAUUUGAAGUAAAGAUUUGUCGGUAAUGGAUGGGGAUGCGUCUGAUUAGCUUGUGGCGGGGUAACGGCCCACCAAGGCAACGAUCAGUAGGGGUUCUGAGAGGAAGGUCCCCCACAUUGGAACUGAGACACGGUCCAAACUCCUACGGGAGGCAGCAGUGAGGAAUAUUGGUCAAUGGACGGAAGUCUGAACCAGCCAAGUAGCGUGCAGGAUGACGGCCCUAUGGGUUGUAAACUGCUUUUGUAUGGGGAUAAAGUUAGGGACGUGUCCCUAUUUGCAGGUACCAUACGAAUAAGGACCGGCUAAUUCCGUGCCAGCAGCCGCGGUAAUACGGAAGGUCCAGGCGUUAUCCGGAUUUAUUGGGUUUAAAGGGAGCGUAGGCUGGAGAUUAAGUGUGUUGUGAAAUGUAGACGCUCAACGUCUGAAUUGCAGCGCAUACUGGUUUCCUUGAGUACGCACAACGUUGGCGGAAUUCGUCGUGUAGCGGUGAAAUGCUUAGAUAUGACGAAGAACUCCGAUUGCGAAGGCAGCUGACGGGAGCGCAACUGACGCUUAAGCUCGAAGGUGCGGGUAUCAAACAGG